GGUUCACACCACCAAGGGUUUCUCUGCAGGAGGAUGGAAAAUGAGGGGAGACUUCGAUUCCCCCCCCCCCCCCGACUGCCUCUUUUCUUUGCGUAACAUUUUCUCGUUUAAUUUCCUACUUACUGAAAAGUUGCAAAAAUUCCCAGGUCCCCCUCCUCCCCAUCUUCCAAAAAUUAACAUUUCCCCAUAUUUGCUUUAUCCUUUUAUCUUUUUCUGGACCAUUUGGCAGUAAAGUGCAGACAUGAUUCCCCUUGACCCCUAAAUGCUUCCGGGUAUUUACUUCCUGAGAACAAGGGCAUUUUCUUACAUAAGCACAGCACCGUUAUCAAAGUCGGGAAAUUGACGCUGGCGCAAUGUUGCUGUCUAGCUUACUGCCCUGAUUCCGAUGUCCAGGCUUCCUUUUGGAAACUCCACUUCCACGUGCUGGAAUCCAGCAUCCCCUCCCCAGCUCCAGAAAAGGGGAGACCCCCCCACCCCCUGCAAUCCUUCCCGCUGUGGAUCCAUUUCUGGGAUGCCCCGACAUCUGAGUCCUGCUGAGGACUGAGGGGUUGGGGUGGGGGAUGAGAGAGGAGGGUCCCCGCAAGAUAAUUUGCAUUCCUGUCCUCCCCCAGCACACCCUGGGGGCCGAUUUUUGCCAAUACUGCCUGACUGGUGUAUCUCCUCCUUCCCACUCCUUACAGGAAGCUCCAGGCUAGCAAUGACACCCACCACUUGCUGAGCCCACCGGAGUACAGGAAUUUUAAGCCAGAACUUUGUCAAAUGCCUAUCUGCAAGAAAAGAGGAAAAGUACAACCCUUUAGGUAGGUACCUUCACUCUCCAAAUAAAACCAAAUGUCUUUAAGGAAGAAGGGGUAAAUGGUAGGUAACUAGCCGUUUGGAGUUGUAGUAUGGAGCCAUUGCAGACCCAAAGCCUGACCGUGGGAGGGAACUAGAAACUAGGAGGCCAAAUUAAGUGAUUUUGAAGAAGAAAUGAUUUGUUCAUCUUGUUCCCCCAAACUUGCUGCUGUGGGUCUUCCGACUUGUUUUUAGUUGGGCAUCUGGGUCAAGCCCUAGGAAUUUCAACAAAUUCCUAGUUCCUAAGCACAGCCAUCUCAGCCUCAGUUUGGGGUCAGUGGUCUCCCAGGGCAGCCGUCUUCCUGAAGAGCCCAGACCAAGAAAGGUGUAACCCCCAGGUGCUUCCUGCCUGCCCUUACCUGGGUGGUAGAAUCAGUGAUUGCCCGUCUGGGGUCAAAAGCCACAGGGCAUACCUUGGCUGACCCUGGCUGCAUUCUGUCUGUGAAGCUUUCUCUUUCACUCCCCUGGAGAGUUCGUUGCACACUGUAUCACUUACGGUCCCAGCAGGAAGCCGAAUCCAAUUCAGGCAGUAAGAAGGAUUGUAACGAAAGGCCUAUGGGAGGCCCUCGUUUUGCACCGUUCUGACAGAUAUGAAUUUCAAUUAUGGAUAAUUUCAAUUAUUUUAAAUGACGCCGGUCCCACAGCAAAAUGGUUCCAAUCUCCAUUCCACUGGUGUAUUAUUCACUCUGAGCAAUUGUCUCAAGCUUCAACGUAAGGUGUAGUUGGACUGCUGGCUCUUCAGACCGGAAAUCACUAUGUGAACAGCAGGUACGCUGUGUGAUCGGUGACCAAUCAUGUCACCUCUUUCAAGACAGACAGCAAAGUAUUCAGUCGUGUUGCCUCCUGUCUCCCACUGAUGAACCCAGGGGACAUUGUGCAAAGACGGAGACCUGAAACAGGGAACUGGCCAAUGAUGAUGAAAAUGCAGCCCAGCAAUGAACCCUAAUAAUGCAGCAGAGAAAUCUGAAUAUAGACCGGGGAGGGGGCGUGGUUAGAGAAGAAACAGCU